rnacentral:rRNA from 2 species
GGGUGGUAAUGCCGGAUGCUCCGACUCCUCGCAUGGGGUGUCGGGAAAGAUUUCAUCGGUAUGGGAUGGGGUCGCGUCCUAUCAGGUAGUCGGCGGGGUAACGGCCCACCGAGCCUACGACGGGUAGCCGGCCUGAGAGGGCGACCGGCCACAUUGGGACUGAGAUACGGCCCAGACUCCUACGGGAGGCAGCAGUGGGGAAUAUUGCACAAUGGGCGCAAGCCUGAUGCAGCGACGCCGCGUGCGGGAUGACGGCCUUCGGGUUGUAAACCGCUUUUGAUCGGGAGCAAGCCUUCGGGUGAGUGUACCUUUCGAAUAAGCACCGGCUAACUACGUGCCAGCAGCCGCGGUAAUACGUAGGGUGCAAGCGUUAUCCGGAAUUAUUGGGCGUAAAGGGCUCGUAGGCGGUUCGUCGCGUCCGGUGUGAAAGUCCAUCGCUUAACGGUGGAUCUGCGCCGGGUACGGGCGGGCUGGAGUGCGGUAGGGGAGACUGGAAUUCCCGGUGUAACGGUGGAAUGUGUAGAUAUCGGAAAGAACACCA